GAGCCAUUAGCUCAGUUGGUAGAGCAUCUGACUUUUAAUCAGAGGGUCGAAGGUUCGAGCCCUUCAUGGCUCACCA
rnacentral:tRNA from 5 species